rnacentral:rRNA from 1 species
UACGAAGGGGGCUAGCGUUGCUCGGAAUCACUGGGCGUAAAGCGCACGUAGGCGGGUCGUUAAGUCGGGGGUGAAAUCCUGGAGCUCAACUCCAGAACUGCCUUCGAUACUGGCGAUCUUGAGUCUGGGAGAGGUGAGUGGAACUCCGAGUGUAGAGGUGAAAUUCGUAGAUAUUCGCAAGAACACCAGUGGCGAAGGCGGCUCACUGGCCCGAUACUGACGCUGAGGCACGAAAGCGUGGGGAGCAAACAGG